CCAAUGAUAGGGCAGAUGACCUAGAAGAUGAGGUUCAAUGCAAGAGGAGGAAGAUGAACAAGAUGGGCUAUGCUCUACGCAUGACCAUGGAGAGAUUGAUCGAUUGGCUAAAUUACUACCCAGCUGAGCAAGGAUAGACCCGGUAUACCAUAAGCCGAGACAUGGUGGUGCACAUCACAUAGAAGGAAUAUCAGAGCGCCAUUGAGCGUGGGAUGUUAG
rnacentral:lncRNA from 1 species